rnacentral:rRNA from 1 species
CGCGUAGGUGGUUUUGUAAGUUGGAGGUGAAAUCCCCGGGCUCAACCUGGGAACUGCCUUCAAAACUGCAUUACUCGAGUACAGUAGAGGGUGGUGGAAUUUCCUGUGUAGCGGUGAAAUGCGUAGAUAUAGGAAGGAACACCAGUGGCGAAGGCGACCACCUGGACUGAUACUGACACUGAGGUGCGAAAGCGUGGGGAGCAAACA